rnacentral:rRNA from 1 species
GACGAACGCUGGCGGCGUGCUUAACACAUGCAAGUCGAACGAGUGGCGAACGGGUGAGUAAUACGUGAGUAACCUGCCCUCUUUUUGGGAUAAGCCUUGGAAACGGGGUCUAAUACCGGAUAAAGGGGGAUGGGCUCGCGGCCUAUCAGCUUGUUGGUGGGGUGAUGGCCUACCAAGGCGGUGACGGGGAGCCGGCCUGAGAGGGUGGACGGCCACAUUGGGACUGAGCUACGGCCCAGACGACUACGUGGGGCAGAAGUGGGGGAUAUUGCACAAUGGGCGAAAGCCGGAUGCAGCGACGCCGCGUGGGGGAUGAAGGCUUUCGGGUUGUAAACCUCUUUCGCUAUCGAAGGGGUAGGGGGAGAAGAAGCGCCGGCUAACUACGUGCCAGCAGCCGCGGUAAUAC